rnacentral:tRNA from 1 species
GACAAAGACCCCUAAUUGGUUAGGGAGCAAGCUGUAAACUUGUCGGGUUAAUCCCAUUGGAGGUUCGAGUCCUCUUUUUGUCA